ACGGGUGAGUAAUGCCUAGGAAUCUGCCUGGUAGUGGGGGAUAACGCUCGGAAACGGACGCUAAUACCGCAUACGUCCUACGGGAGAAAGCAGGGGACCUUCGGGCCUUGCGCUAUCAGAUGAGCCUAGGUCGGAUUAGCUAGUUGGUGAGGUAAUGGCUCACCAAGGCGACGAUCCGUAACUGGUCUGAGAGGAUGAUCAGUCACACUGGAACUGAGACACGGUCCAGACUCCUACGGGAGGCAGCAGUGGGGAAUAUUGGACAAUGGGCGAAAGCCUGAUCCAGCCAUGCCGCGUGUGUGAAGAAGGUCUUCGGAUUGUAAAGCACUUUAAGUUGGGAGGAAGGGCAGUAACCUAAUACGUUAUUGUUUUGACGUUACCGACAGAAUAAGCACCGGCUAACUCUGUGCCAGCAGCCGCGGUAAUACAGAGGGUGCAAGCGUUAAUCGGUAUUACUGGGCGUAAAGCGCGCGUAGGUGGUUUGUUAAGUUGAAUGUGAAAUCCCCGGGCUCAACCUGGGAACUGCAUCCCAAACUGGCAAGCUAGAGUAGGGCAGAGGGUGGUGGAAUUUCCUGUGUAGCGGUG
rnacentral:rRNA from 1 species